rnacentral:rRNA from 1 species
UACGGGGGGGGCAAGCGUUGUUCGGAAUUACUGGGCGUAAAGGGCUCGUAGGUGGCCAACUAAGUCAUACGUGAAAUCCCUCGGCUUAACCGGGGAACUGCGUCUGAUACUGGAUGGCUUGAGGUUGGGGAGAGGGAUGCGGAAUUCCAGGUGUAGCGGUGAAAUGCGUAGAUAUCUGGAGGAACACCGGUGGCGAAGGCGGCAUCCUGGACCAAUUCUGACACUGAGGAGCGAAAGCCAGGGGAGCAAACGGG